AAUUGUUUUAAAAUGCAGGAUCUUCUCUUUUUUGCUACUUGUUUUUCAACUUCACUUCUUUUAAUAUUCAAAUAUAUACAUAUGAAUGAAUGUAUAUAUGUAUGUAUGUAUAUAUAUAUAUUAAUUCAAACAACUUUGCAUGCCUAUACCCUAUUUGCAUGCCAUCUUGUACACAGUCCUCCAAAUGUCAAAGAGUCUUUGCUGAGUCUUUCUGAAGCUAUUCUGGCCUCUUCAAACUGACCCUGAAUGAUCAGGAAGGCAUGCCUUUGCACUUGAUUAAGCCUGAUUUCCUCUGGGCAAAAGCAGCCUGGGUGGAAGCGAUAUCUGCUUUAUCCACCAGACUUCCCCUCCUCCUUUUUUGUGUCAACUGAGGUAGGGCUGGGACCCUGGUUUCUUCCUAAACCACUCCUGACCUCUACCUGAGGUCAUGAGAAGGAAAGGCCUGCAGCCCUGGAGUACUGAGCACACGGCAGAGGUGACUGAUGAGCAGAGUUGGAUGAGACAGAUGCAGGAAGCCCUACGCCUAUUACAGGCCUGCAGCUCAUCAACUAGCGAUGGAACGAGACACUGGAUGGUACAUUGAGUGGCCCCUGCCAACACCAUGGAUAUUCAGGGUCUGCCAGCCUUCCCUGGAGUACAGUCAUGAUUCAAACAGAGUAAACAGCUGAACUUCAGAGCUGAAGUCGGGGGAAAUGCCCUAAGACCUUGAAGAUCUGGGGUGACUGGGGUGUAGUGGUGAGGGUUUAAACAGAUUUUGAGAGAUUUGUUUCUCUUUCCAUCUAGCCAAAACAAAACCAUUCUGUUCCUGAGUUUGUUUGCUGUGAGCAAUAUGUGCCCAUGGUGUCUAUGAGACGUGAGGACCUGGCUUGGGCAUGACCGUGCCUGUCUUUCUGUUUGCUGAGUGGCUGUCAUUGGCAACAAGGAAGGUCAUUGCCAGGAAUCCAGAUUGUGGGUUCCACUUCCCAAAGACUUUUCCUCCUUCUCAGAGCCUAGAGGUCUUUGGGUUUCUGGGGAUUCGAAUGGGCCCAUUGUUCACUGUUGGUGAAGCAUUUACCCAAGAAAGCUGCCCUUGAACUCAUCUUGGUUCUGGGAUCUCUGGACUGUGAACAGUUGUUUGGAGCUGAAUAAGUCAUCUUUCCUUUUUCUAAUAUUAGAAAGUUCGACUUCUAUCCAACAUGACCCGUAAAAUAAUUAAGAAAUGGGAGGGGCUACAGAGACGGCUCAGCAUUUAAGAGCUUUUGUUACUUUUGUAGAAGACCUGGGUUUGGUUCUCAAGAUCCACAUGGUGGGCUCACAAGCAUCCAGAACUUCAAUUUCAGGAGAGCUCUUUUGACCUCUGAAUGACCUCUUUUGACCUCUGAAUGCACCAGGCAUGCACUUGGCACACACACAUACAUGCAGGUGAAAACACAUACACGUUAAAUAAAAGUAAGUAUAAAAACAUUAAGAAAUGGGAGAAGGUGUGGAUGUAGGUUUUUCUUCUCUUCCUCUUUGUGAGUGGUAGGGGAAGUGAGUACAAUUUGUUGAGUUCCCCAUUAUGUCUCAUUAGACACUUUUAUGUGUAAACGAAUUACCUGAAGUACAAUAAAACCGUAGAGUUCAUUUGAAUAGGAAGCAGUUUAUGAACUGGGGAAUGCCAAAGUGAGAGAGAGGUUUGCUGUUCUGCUAGAUUAGCAGAGGCAAGAAUUUACAAGGAAAAUUAGAAGCAGAACGAAGACAUCAUUUGAUUAACUGAAUCCAAAAUUCCCUUUGCCCCUUGCCUGUCGGAAAUUCCCUGGCCACAUCAUCUGACAUCGGCUCCCAUGCAUGGGUGUGCCUGAGUUUUAUUUCCAUCUGACAUUUCGAAGCGAUGACUAACAAUUGCCCAAAUGAAGAGCUGCUUCUCUUUGCAGUUUAACCAAGAGCAAAGUUAUGUUUGAGGCCUAGUUGUGUUUGCGUAAGAAUUUUCUAGUCCUUGUUUACAUUUUGUUUUUGCCAUAACUGCACCUUACAAAAUUCAAAGCAUGGCUACAAAAGGAAAAAGGAUGUUAUCCCUUUAUUUGUUUUUUUUUAUGUGUUAAAAAAUGAGGGGUUUAGUGUAUACAGAAGGUAUGAAAACCCUCUAAAGUUUUACAUUCUGUCUUGGAAGAACCCCAAUUUUGCCUGUAUUUUCAGUCUCUUUUAGUCUAUCCAACACAGGGCACGAUUGCUGAUAAUGUCAUUUCCAGGGAGAGUGAGUCGCUCAAUGGAGGAGGGGAAUGCGUGGGAUAAAGAUGACAGGAAUGAAGUCGAUGCAAUUAACAGCGACAUAUGAGGUGACACUGAUUUCUGUCUCGCCCCACCUUUCUGGGAUUUUACGGUAUUCGGCAGGCCAUCUCGCCUCUCUAUCCACCAGUGCGGGAAAUAGCCCUGAAAAGGGGAAACACACGUGGAAUGAUUUGGUCAACACGGGUAUCACCCUUGGUGCUUAAGUUCACGAAGGAGACGGAAAGGAAGCAGCCUAGAAAAUGAAUCACGGUGGAUGUACGUGUGUUUGCAUGUGUAUAUCAGAAUAUGUGGAGGCUGGAAGCCAAAUCAGUGUCGUCCUCUGGAGAACUCCACUUCAUCGGCUUUGAGAGACCUGGAAUCCGCAAGUUGCUUUUCAGUGAUCUUCAAGGAUCAGCCCAUGUCUGUGUCCCCUCCUGUUGUACCCGGAUGUCAUGUGGGUGCUGGUCCUCACUGUGGCACAGUAAGCACUCUCCCCACUGAGCCACCUCUUCACUCCAGAAACAGUGUCACAGUCACAGCUCUGGACACUUUAUCCAGAGCGGAGAUCAACAGGCCUGGGCACCGACACACAGAGGACGUCUGCAGGAGAGUCCAGCCCCACUACCACCUGUUUUAAGAGCCCGAGAUGACGAAUCUUGAUUAAAUGCAGAAGAUAAAAAGCCCUGAGUUGAUUUUUUUCUCAUUUCACAUGAGACUCCCUUGAUUUAAACAGCUCAGAAGGAGUAUAACAUAAUUCAGACUCACUUUUAACUAUGCAUAUAGAUAUUUAUUUACUAA